rnacentral:tRNA from 1 species
CAGAGAAUAGUUUAUUUAAAAUAUUAAUUUUGGAGAUUAAUGAUAGGGGGUUCCCUUUCUCUGA